rnacentral:lncRNA from 1 species
GCAAACUGAAAUAUGAUGAUCGUACGAAAAAACAGAUUUACGUCUAAACGCUGAUUUGGAAAGUGCAAAACUUGAAACCCGAUCGUAUAUGCGCAGAAAGCAAUAAGCUUUAGAGGAGGUUUGCAGUAAAGAUAAUAUGCUCAAAGUAAAUGCAAACCGAGAUUUAGAGUGGUUCGGUCAAUCUUGACCUACUCCACUUUUG